rnacentral:rRNA from 1 species
AGUCGAGCGGAACGAUGAUAGCUUGCUAUCAGGCGUCGAGCGGCGGACGGGUGAGUAAUACUUAGGAAUCUACCUAGUAGUGGGGGAUAGCACGGGGAAACUCGUAUUAAUACCGCAUACGACCUACGGGAGAAAGGGGGCAGUUUACUGCUCUCGCUAUUAGAUGAGCCUAAGUCGGAUUAGCUAGAUGGUGGGGUAAAGGCCUACCAUGGCGACGAUCUGUAGCUGGUCUGAGAGGAUGAUCAGCCACACCGGGACUGAGACACGGCCCGGACUCCUACGGGAGGCAGCAGUGGGGAAUAUUGGACAAUGGGGGAAACCCUGAUCCAGCCAUGCCGCGUGUGUGAAGAAGGCCUUUUGGUUGUAAAGCACUUUAAGCAGUGAAGAAGACUCCGUGGUUAAUACCCACGGACGAUGACAUUAGCUGCAGAAUAAGCACCGGCUAACUCUGUGCCAGCAGCCGCGGUAAUACAGAGGGUGCAAGCGUUAAUCGGAAUUACUGGGCGUAAAGGGAGCGUAGGUGGCUCGAUAAGUCAGAUGUGAAAUCCCCGGGCUCAACCUGGGAACUGCAUCUGAUACUGUUGAGCUAGAGUAUGUGAGAGGAAGGUAGAAUUCCAGGUGUAGCGGUGAAAUGCGUAGAGAUCUGGAGGAAUACCGAUGGCGAAGGCAGCCUUCUGGCAUAAUACUGACACUGAGGCUCGAAAGCGUGGGUAGCAAACAGGAUUAGAUACCCUGGUAGUCCACGCCGUAAACGAUGUCUACUAGUCGUUGGGUCCCUUGAGGACUUAGUGACGCAGCUAACGCAAUAAGUAGACCGCCUGGGGAGUACGGCCGCAAGGUUAAAACUCAAAUGAAUUGACGGGGGCCCGCACAAGCGGUGGAGCAUGUGGUUUAAUUCGAUGCAACGCGAAGAACCUUACCUGGUCUUGACAUAUCUAGAAUCCUGCAGAGAUGCGGGAGUGCCUUCGGGAAUUAGAAUACAGGUGCUGCAUGGCUGUCGUCAGCUCGUGUCGUGAGAUGUUGGGUUAAGUCCCGCAACGAGCGCAACCCUUGUCCUUAGUUACCAGCGGGUUAAGCCGGGAACUCUAAGGAUACUGCCAGUGACAAACUGGAGGAAGGCGGGGACGACGUCAAGUCAUCAUGGCCCUUACGACCAGGGCUACACACGUGCUACAAUGGUAGGUACAGAGGGCAGCUACACAGCGAUGUGAUGCGAAUCUCAAAAAGCCUAUCGUAGUCCAGAUUGGAGUCUGCAACUCGACUCCAUGAAGUAGGAAUCGCUAGUAA